UAUAUUAUAUCUAAGAAAGAAAAUUAUUUUGAAAAUAAUCAAUAAGUGUUCAAAUCACUUUAA
rnacentral:tRNA from 1 species